ACUCCUACGGGAGGCAGCAGUGGGGAAUAUUGCACAAUGGGCGCAAGCCUGAUGCAGCCAUGCCGCGUGUGUGAAGAAGGCCUUCGGGUUGUAAAGCACUUUCAGUCGUGAGGAAGGUAGUGUAGUUAAUAGCGCAUUUAAUUGUCGUUAGCGACAGAAGAAGCACCGGCUAACUCCGUGCCAGCAGCCGCGGUAAUACGGAGGGUGCGAGCGUUAAUCGGAAUUACUGGGCGUAAAGCGCAUGCAGGUGGCUUUGUU
rnacentral:rRNA from 1 species